GAUAUCACUAUGGGCCUGGCCCGUCCCAUGGUUGAUCUUCUCGGCGAUGCAAGGCGGUGUACCGGUGGCGGUGAACUCCAACGGUCUGUUCUGUGCCAUCGUGCUCCUCUUCGUCAUGCUCAUCUUCGUCAUCGUCAGCAUCGCGGCGUGUCGGUGGAAGAUGAGCCGUGUUCUGGGCCUCACCAUGUUCAUGCUUUACUUCGUGUUCCUGGUGCUCAGUGUGAUGCUGGAGGACCGUGUUAUUAUCUGCCCCGUCUCCAUCUGAGGUCAGAGGUCAGACACCAUUAUGUUAGGCUUCAGGAAUGUUUUUUAUUUUAUUUAUUUUUUACUAAGAUUAAACUGAAUAUGUUGUACUGUACAGAGCAUUAUGGGUAUUGUAGUACAUCGUACUACAAUGAGGAGGGAGGGGGGAAAAAAGGCGUGUCAGGAAGUCAUUUAAAUAAUCACCGCCCAACUGUGUCGUUGUCAGUCACUAACAUUCACGGCUAUCACGGUAUAGGGAGGGGAUUCCCUAGUGUUACUGUUGACAGAGGGGAUUCCCUAGUGUUACUGUUGACAGAGGGGAUUCCCUAGUGUUACUGUUGACAGAGGGGAUUGUGUUGUCAGUCACUAACAUUCAAGGCUGUCACGGUAUAGGGAGGGGAUUCCCUAGUGUUACUGUUGACAGAGGGGAUUGUGUUGUCUAUGUUGAGCCAGGUAUUGUUGAAUCAGUGGACACCUCCAUGGUUGGACUAUUUCUGGUCUCUUUCACCAGAACUGAUGUGCAGCAGUAGAGGUUGUCUGUCCACAACUCCUGAAGAGAGACUCAGUAAUUAUAGAAGUUGUCCAGCCAUACACACACA